CGGCCGCAAAAAGAUCAAGGCGGAGAACCCGGGGGGUCCGCCUGUCCUUGUAGUCCCCUACCCCAUCCUGGCCUCGGGCGAGACUGCCAAGGAGGGCAAGACGUACAGGUGUAAGGUAUGCCCGCUGACCUUUUUCACCAAGUCGGAGAUGCAGAUCCACUCCAAGUCGCACACAGAGGCCAAGCCCCACAAGUGCCCGCACUGCUCCAAGUCCUUUGCCAACGCCUCCUACCUGGCCCAGCACCUGCGCAUCCACCUGGGCGUCAAGCCCUACCACUGCUCCUACUGUGAUAAGUCCUUCCGGCAGCUCUCCCACCUCCAGCAGCACACCAGGUGAGUGGCCUGCCUGCUGCCCUGCUGCAGCCCAACUCAGCUCAGCACCUGUGGCCUGGCACAUGGAGCCAGUGCAAGGAGGGGCAAGGACCUUCUCCAGGUGCCCAUUGCCCUCGGGGUCGCGGCCCCUGCGGACCUCACUGGCCUCAGCUGUUGUUACUG
rnacentral:sRNA from 1 species